UCUCUUACUUGGAGGUCACGUGUAUUCUUGGGGAAUUAACACACAUUACGAGAUGUUAUUGCUUGAGAAUACACGUAGCUGACAAGGAGAG
rnacentral:pre_miRNA from 1 species